rnacentral:rRNA from 1 species
GCUCAACCGGGGAGGGUCAUUGGAAACUGGGGAACUUGAGUGCAGAAGAGGAGAGUGGAAUUCCACGUGUAGCGGUGAAAUGCGUAGAGAUGUGGAGGAACACCAGUGGCGAAGGCGACUCUCUGGUCUGUAACUGACGCUGAGGCGCGAAAGCGUGGGGAGCGAACAGGAUUAGAUACCCUGGUAGUCCACGCCGUAAACGAUGAGUGCUAAGUGUUAGAGGGUUUCCGCCCUUUAGUGCUGCAGCAAACGCAUUAAGCACUCCGCCUGGGGAGUACGGUCGCAAGACUGAAACUCAAAGGAAUUGACGGGGGCCCGCACAAGCGGUGGAGCAUGUGGUUUAAUUCGAAGCAACGCGAAGAACCUUACCAGGUCUUGACAUCCCAAUGGCCGCUUUAGAGAUAGAGCCUUCCCUUCGGGGACAUUGGUGACAGGUGGUGCAUGGUUGUCGUCAGCUCGUGUCGUGAGAUGUUGGGUUAAGUCCCGCAACGAGCGCAACCCUUGAUCUUAGUUGCCAGCAUUGAGUUGGGCACUCUAAGGUGACUGCCGGUGACAAACCGGAGGAAGGUGGGGAUGACGUCAAAUCAUCAUGCCCCUUAUGACCUGCGCUACACACGUGCUACAAUGGAUGGUACAAAG